AGAAGCGAACCUGCGAAGGCAAGCGGAUCUCUUAAAGCCGUUCUCAGUUCGGACUGUAGGCUGCAACUCGCCUACACGAAGCUGGAAUCGCUAGUAAUCGCGGAUCAGCACGCCGCGGUGAAUACGUUCCCGGGCCUUGUACACACCGCCCGUCACACCAUGAGAGUCUGUAACACCCAAAGCCGGUGGGACAACCUUUAUAGGAGUCAGCCGUCUAAGGUAGGACAGAUGAUUAGGGUGAAGUCGUAACAAGGUAAC
rnacentral:rRNA from 1 species